rfam:Pristionchus pacificus strain PS312 contig13325, whole genome shotgun sequence.
UCUUCAUUCCUCCUCGCACUCUCUCACCGGUCAGAGAGGCGAGAGAGUGUGUGAAAUGAAGAGA